CGGAAUCAGAAAUUGACGGCCCAGAUUCACCCUCGAACACCAUACCUAAAUAUUAGGUCAUUGAUCAACAACACCACAGUGUACAAAGUCAGAGAGAAAGAGAGAGGGGACCGAGAUACAAAAUUCCACCGGAGAGCCCCUCUUGUUAUAUUUAAUCAUGGGAACGUACAAGUACUUGUCAGGGAUAAUGAGGAACAAGCAGUUAGAUAUGGUGAGGCUUUUGGCAGAAAUGAAGUGUUGGAAUUACACACAAAACCGCUCCAUUCUUCAUGCCUUGCGGCCUUUGCAGACCCAUGAGGCUCCUCGGCUGGGCAAUGAGGCAAAUCAGUUGCUCCUUCUAUUGAAGUCAGGUAGUGCUGGACGAUCAACUUUUCAAGCAAACCGCAUAACUAAGGAUGUACUUGGAGUUAAUGGAAUCCCGGUUCUAUAUAGACAGUUUUCUACUAGAGAUUGUAUUCCCCGGUUACCAUUUCUACUCAAAGAAAAAUAUGGGGCAAACACCAUGAUUCCAUUCUCCACUAGAUCCAUUUCAUCAAAAGCUUCAGAGCGACCAAGGCAAAAUAAAUCAGAGAAGCAAAAGGGUCAAAGUGGAUCAGAGACUAAAAAAGACAUAUCAACGGUUGAGGAUGUCUUUGAUGCUCCUACAUAUAAUAUCCCAGAGAAGCCCGUGACAUUUGUAGAGGGGGCUUCCUACACUGCUAUCAUUAUUAUAGGGCUUGGAAUUGCAGCUGCUGCUGGAUAUGCUGUUUUUAAAGAGCUUAUCUUUCAACCAAAAGAAUACAAGGUCUUUAACAAGGCUCUGAAGAGGAUUCAAGAUGACAGCCAGGUUAGGGUGAGGAUUGGAUCCCCAAUUACAGGCUAUGGUCAGGAAAGUAGAAAUCGUGCUGCUCGCCAACGUAUUCCUCAUAAGACAUGGACUGAUGAAGAAGGUGUAGAGCAUGUGGAGAUUAAUUUUUUUAUCCGUGGGCCCCAUGGAACUGGGAAAGUUUACUCUGAGAUGUUCAAGGACCAAGUGGACAAGCAGUGGAAGUACACAUAUUUGAUUGUUGAGAUCAGAUCUCCAACCCCUUCACAAUUGAUUCUAGAGUCAUAUAUGCCGGCUUAUAACGUGGACAAGAAGUAGUCAGAUUGUAGCAAGGUUUCUUUCUGUACCAAGUAACAUGGACCGCCCUUGUCUUGUUAAUAGUUAUCCUCCUCUUAAUUUUUUCUUUACGCUUUGGAAAGGGUUUAGUUUGAAUUUUGAAGUCCAAUUUUUAUUUGCUACCAAGAGGAAUCAUAUAGGAUGGGAACUAGACCACCUGCUUGGCAAAUUUCAUAAGAUUAUCCCCAAAAAAAGAAGAUUGAUUGAUUGGAAUGGUUCAUACCUUUUGUUGCCUUUGUAUCAAGUUAGGUACGCUGAUUGUUUCAGGCUUAUCUUCAUUUGACACUGACCUUUGGCAGACCUAGGUUGUUUGAAGGGAAAGCUUUAAUAAAAUAAAUUCCAAGCACAUCUCUUUUACUC